UACAGAGGGGGCAAGCGUUGUUCGGAAUUACUGGGCGUAAAGGGCGCGUAGGCGGCCUUCUAAGUCGAACGUGAAAUCCCCGGGCUCAACCCGGGAACUGCGUCCGAUACUGGAAGGCUUGAAUGCGGGAGAGGGAUGUGGAAUUCCAGGUGUAGCGGUGAAAUGCGUAGAUAUCUGGAGGAACACCGGUGGCGAAGGCGACAUCCUGGACCGGUAUUGACGCUGAGGCGCGAAAGCCAGGGGAGCAAACGGG
rnacentral:rRNA from 1 species